rnacentral:lncRNA from 1 species
UGUGCCUCAAAAAAUCUUUUCAGGUGUUCCUUCGGAAGAAUUCGUUGGCUUGAGACCUUAAAUGUACAGCCUUUUGUAUAACCAGACCUCUACAGAAGGUAUCACAUGCGAAAAGGAAAAAAAGUGGCGAAAGGCAUUUCAAAAACUGAAAUAAAACAGACUCUCCGACAUGAAAAUGUAUAAGAAAUGUUUGAACGAAGAAACUACGACCACCAAUUCAAUGACGUGCAUUA